CACGUAGGGCGCAAGCGUUGUCCGGAAUUAUUGGGCGUAAAGAGCUCGUAGGUGGUUUGUCGCGUUGUUCGUGAAAACUCACAGCUCAACUGUGGGCGUGCGGGCGAUACGGGCAGACUAGAGUACUGCAGGGGAGACUGGAAUUCCUGGUGUAGCGGUGAAAUGCGCAGAUAUCGAGGAGGAACACCGGUGGCCGAAGGCGGGUCUCUGGGCCGAGUGACUGACGCUGGAGGAGCGAAAGCGUGGGGAGCGAAC
rnacentral:rRNA from 1 species